AGCAGAGGCCAUUUCCCUCCCAACCCCGCACUCACCCGCCCUGGUCUCGGUCAGGUCCAGGGUCCCCGAGAGCAGUAGGAGGAGUGUUCGGGGCACCACGACCCCAGCCUCAGUGUCUGGGGAGAAUCCAAGUCCCGAGAAUUGGCUGAAGCACAUGCAUGUAAAAGGAAGGCAAUGGCUGAAGAAUCAAGACAGGACUAUAGUGGGAGAAGAGAAGAAAAAUGUAAACGUGGAGAUAGAUGACAAGAAGAUAACUGAUGCAUGAAGUGGACAUUAAUACUGUGAAAACCUCUUGGGGAGUCAGAAAUGACCACGUCUACAUGGGAGGGAAACUUUUUUUUUUUUUUUUUAAUUGAGAUGGAGUUUCACUCGUUACCCAGGCUGGAAUGCAAUGGCGCGAUCUCGGCUCACCGCAACCUCCGCCUCCUGGGUUCAGGCAAUUCUCCUGCCUCAGCCUCCCAAGUAGCUGGGAUUACAGGCAUGCGCCACCAUGCCCAGCUAAUUUUUUGUAUUUUUAGUAGAGACGGGGUUUCACCAUGUUGACCAGGAUGGUCUUGAUCUCUUGACCUCGUGAUCCACCCGCCUCGGCCUCCCAAAGUGCUGGAAUUACAGGCGUGGGAGGGAAAAUGUCUUAUCGCCCAACAUGACCAGCCAUCAGGGACAUGGGACAGAAUCAGAAGGGCUGUCUAGUCAUUUCCUUUCUUCUCCCUCCAACAUCCCAGCAAGAUUAUUGACUAAUUUACAGCCAAUGCACAUUGAAGAAUCAGUACAAUUUGUUGUAGGCUUUGAGAAAAUAGAAAUUUCUUGAGCUCUUCUUGGGGGUAGUGAGCCGUUUCCCUGUAUCAGACAAAUAGACUCAUCUGGUAUUUCAGGAAUAAAGUGUGUAAUGUAGAAAUAAGAGCAUACACUAAUGUUUGGAAACCAGGGGUAGCAAAUAUUGACAAAGUCAUGUGACAGGCAGAAUAAUGGUCUCCUAAACGUAUCUGUGUCCUGAAAUUUAUAGAAACGUCUUCUAAUAGGGCAGAAGUAACUUUUCAGAUGUGAUUAAGCUGCAGCUCCUGAGAUGGGAAGAUUAUCCUGGAUUGAAGGAAGCUUCAAUGUAAUCACAACAGACCUUAUAAGUGAAAGGAGUAAAGACAGCAUCAGAGUUAGAGAUGUGACAACACAAUCAGAGGUCGAAAUGAUGUGACUGCUGACUUGGAAUAUGGAGGAAAGGACCAAGAGCCAAGGAAUGCAGGCAGCCCCAAGAAGCUGGAAAUGGUGAGGAAACAAUUUUCCCUUAGGGCCUCAGAAGAAAUGCAGCUCUGAUGACACAUUAACUUUAGCCCCUAGUGACCCAUUUUUGACUUCACACCUCCAGAACUGUAAGAGGUUAAAUCUUGUAUUAGCCAUUCAAACUAAAUUUUGAAUUGCAAAUCAGCCCCAUAUUUAUUAAUUUUUUUAAAUUUCCAUAGUUUUGGGGGGGCAGGUAGUUUUUGGUUACAUUUAGAGUUCUUUAGUAGUGAAUUCUGAAAUGUUAGUGCACCAUCACCCGAGCAGUGUACUCUGUACCCAAAAUAGUCUUUUAUCCCUCACCCUCUUCCCAACCUCCCCACAAGUCCCCACAGCCCAUUAUAUCACUUUGUAUGUCUUUCCAUCCUCAUAGCUUAGCUCUCAUUUAUAUGUGAGAACAUUCAGUAUUUGGUUUUUCCAUCCCUGAGUUACUUCACUUAUAAUAAUAAUAAUCUCCAGCUCCACCUAAGUUGCUGUAUAACCCAUUAUUUUAUUCCUUUUUAUGGUCGAGUAGUGUUCCAUGGUGUAUUUACACCACAUUUCUUUUAUACACCCACUGGUUGAUGGUCACUCAGGUUGGCUCCAUAUCCUUGCAAUUGUGAAUUGUGCUGCCCUAGAUAUGCACGUGCAUGCGUCUUUUCCAUAUAAUGAUUUACUCCCCUUUGGGUAGAUACCCAGUAAUAGGGUUGCUGGAUCAAAUGGUAGAUCCAGUUUUAGAUAUUUAAGGAAUCUCCAUGAAGUGGAAAUUUGGCCCAGGAUUUUGUCAGCACGUAGUGGGUAACUGUCCCCAUUUUAAAACUGCCCCUAUUUUUGUUAGUAAUUGCCCCUUUCUGCUUCUGUACCUCAGCUUAUUGCUUACUAACUCGAAAGCCUUAAGGGAAACUGCUGUGUCGCCUAAAAUGUGCUGCUUUGUCUAAAGUCCUGAGUUACUUCCCCUGCCCCUUUACCUAUAAAAACUGUGUACUUUUCUUAGCUGGGGUCCAGACUUUUGGAUGUGAACCCUUCUGGGCCCCCCGACAUAAUAAAGUGUGUUCCUCUGAUCCCUGAGUUCUGCUUUGGUUUCUUAUCAGGUAAAAUUUUCCAGAACAUUUUGUUCCCUGACCAGGAAACCCAACUGUGCUGGCCCCUUGAGCCACUGGUUUGGGGUCAGAAAGAACAGAUAGCUUGCCUGUUCGCCACUGGGAAACAAGGCAGGGACCCCCCAUAAGCUUCUACAGGGCCUUCUUUCCUGGAGGGAGAACGGCAGUUGCUCCGGCAUUGCCACUCGCCGAACUCACGGGGGAGAUGGACUGAACUGAAGGGAACUCUGAAUAAGGUAAGGUCCUGGGAUCUGACCCUAGGCAGGCCCAUCUACAGGUGGAAGGAGAGAUUGGAUCUCCAUUUGGAGACAGCAGUCAGAUUUCCUGAGUCAGGGUAGGAAUGUGAUAAUCUGAGUGAGUGUGUGAGUGCAUGGGGAGCUCAAGGGCCCACCCUUGAACCUCCAUUCUGUGGCGACCUCAUAAGGCUUAUGGAAGUAUUGAGCUAAGUGAGAGCUGAGCUCGAUCCGAGUUGGGGGAUUAUACUGACCUGCUGAUGCUAAGAGGCACCUAAGUUCCUGCAAGGGAUGUGACCAGGUGGGAAACCAAGUGGUCCUUCAUGGGACACCCCCUCCUUUGUCUAUCUUGUGCCAAUGGUCAGAAAGGGACACACAUCAUGGGGAAAAGUCAGUCUAAGCCCAUGGUCCUAUAUUGUAUGGUCAAAAACUUCAGGAAGGGCUUUUCUGAAAAUUAUGGGGUCAGAAUGACCCCAGAAAAGCUAAAGAUCCUCUGCAGAUCAGAGUGGCUGGUUCUUAGCAUUGGCUGGUGACCAGAGGGCACCCCGGACCUCUCUAUAGGCUGUUUGGAAGGCUGUGACCAGCAACCCCAGCCACCCAGACCAGAUCCCAUAUAUUGACUCCUGGUUGGAGAUAGCUCAGACCCUUCCCCUUGUGUUCAAUUCUGCACUGGAAAUAAGUGACAGUUCAAGGUCCUCAUGGCCCAAGCAACUAAGGGACCCAAGGAACCAAUUCAUCAGGGUGACCCCAAGGAGGAGCUGUCACUGCUUUAUGUCCUUCUGGCACCAUCAGCCCCCAGCCCACCACCCUUGCCUGACACACCUGCCACACAAAGAGGGGAGAUCUGAGCACCCUCCCUUGUGGCUACAUCACUGGGCAUACUGCAAAGAGGUGGGACAUUGGAAGAACAAGUGCCCCAAACAGAUGGUCCUGGGUGGGGCACCCCCCACCAAGAGAGGGCAGAAUACCAGCCAGAACCUAGCCAGGCCCACCUGAUUGCCUUGUCCAGGACGAACUCAGACUAGGACGGGCCAACCUCUGUGAAACUUGGCCCCUGAGAGCCCACGUCAGGAUAAAGGUCUGGGGCCACCCAAUGACUUUUAUAGUAGACACUGGAGCAGAGUACUCAUGAUCACCACUCUGGUUGCCCCAUUUAGCAACUGAAAGGCAACUGUUGUGGGAGCAACAGACAACCAAGUAGAGCCCCGGCCGUUCUGCCAAGAUCGGAUAUGCCAAUUAGGAGGGCACCAGGUAUGCCAUGAGUUCCUCUACCUACCAGAAUGUCCUGUUCCCCUUUUGGGAAGAGACUUGUUAAGGGCACAAAUUGCUUUUAAACCAGGGGAGCCAGCCAGUCUGACUUUGAGUGAGCCAAAAUGGGGCCUGGUCCGGGCAGUCACACUUCCACGUGAGGAAGAAUAAAAACUGCACACUGCCGAGAGGUCAGAGGAAAUCCCACCAGAAUUCCUGGACUCCUUCCCUGCAGUCUGGGCAGAGAUGAAGCCCCUAGGGAUGGCUAAGGCCCAAAUCUGCAGAUGACAGGUGAGAUACCUGGGGUUCAUACCUGGGGUUCUCUGGUCCUUUGGACCAGAGAGAAAAAGGGUGAUUUGCUCCACGCCCACUCCCAAUACCAAGUGGAAGCUCAGGGAGUUUCUCGGGGUGGCAGGCUUCUGCCGAAUAUGGAUUCCCGACUAUGGACCCCUUGAGGGGAGUGGUAGCCAAGACAUGGCUUUCUGGGAAAUCAAGGCACUGCUCCAAAGUGCCCCAACACUAGGACUUCCAGAUGUCACCUGAGAAUUCAAUCUAUUCAUUCAGGAUAGAAAGAAGAUAGCACUUGGGGUCCUCACCCAGACCAUUGGGCCUUGGCAGAGACCAGUAACAUAUGUGUCUAAACAGUUGGAUGCAGUAGCAUCAGAAUGACCCCCUUGUCUCUGAGCCUUAGCUGCCACAGUUAUUCUGAUGAAGGAAGCUGACAAGCUAACCUUGGGCCAGACUGUCCAUAUCAAAGUGCCUCACUCAGUGUCCAUCCUUAUGAGCAGUCAGGGGAACCAGUGGCUCUCAAAUGUUUGUUUAACCCACUACCAAGGGCUGCUCUAUGAAAACCCACGGGUCGCCAUUGAGACAGUGGCCUCAACCCAGCCACAUUUCUACCCACAGAGGAGGGGACCCUAGACCAAGACUGUGAGGAGGUGGUAGAUGAAAUCUUUACUAGUCUGCCAGACCUGAAGGACUGUCCCCUUCCAAAGGCAGACUUAAACCUGUUCACUGAUGGAAGCAGCUAUGUCCAAAAUGGGAAGAGGUAUGCAGGGUAUGCAGUCACCACUGCCACUGAAGUGGUCGAGGCAGCCCCUUUGCCCAGCAGCUGGUCAGCACAAUGGGCAGAAGUACAUGCCCUCAUUCAGGCCCUGUGCCAUGCAGAAGGUAAAGUGGCCAAUAUUCACACUGAGUCCAAGUACGCCUUUGCAACUGUCCACAUACAUGGGGUGAUAUACAAGGAGAGAGGGCUGCUAAUAGCAGGAGGAAAAGAAAUCAAAAAUAAGGAAGAAAUUCUCAGACUGCUGGAAGGAGUUUGGAAGCCCAAAGGGGUAGCUGUCAUGCAUUGCAAAAGCCACCAAAGAGGAACUGAUCUUAUCUCUAUAGGAAACCGUCUGGCUGACAGAGAAGAAGCCGCACUGCAGAAAGAACCUGUACGGGACCCUGCCCACUUAUUCAGUCACCCCUUGGCUCCAAGAGGAUAUGGGAAAGCCAGAGUGCCCUAAGGAAGAAAACCAGUGGGCACAGCAGGAGGGGGAAAGCAGAGUGCUGGGGGAUGGUGGCUACUCCCUGACCACAGACCGAUAGUGCCCAGGAACUUGGCUCACACCAUCGUUACUCAGGACCAUGGUCUCACUACCUAGGUAAAACUGCUCUGGAGACCUUACUCCACAGCUAUUACUAUAUUGCAACCCUCCCUAAACUCUGCUGCAGUAAGCAAUCAGUGCCUUACCUGUGCUAAAAGCAACCCCCCCACAGUGACUGAAACCUGCCCCAGGGGUGCAACAGGUGGGGGUCUACCCCUUUGAGGACAUAGAGGUGGACUUCACUGAAAUUAAGCCCAGUAAAGGGUACAGAUGCCUACAGGUCCUUGUAUGUACGUACUCAGGCUGGGCUGAGGCACUGCCAACUAAGAUGGAAAGAGCCCGAGAAGUAGUGGAAGUCCUAUUUUGUGAAAUUGUUCCCUGAUAUGGGAUUCCACCAUACACAGUGACAGUGGGCCAGCAUUCACCAUACACAAUGACAAUGGGACAGCAUCCACCAUACACAGUGACAAUGGGCCAGCAUUUGUGGCAGAAAUCAUCCAAGCCCUCACCAGUGUGCUCAAGAUUAAGUGGAAACUUCAUACAGCCUACAGGCCACAAAGUUCAGGGAAAGUGGAGCACAUGAAUCCAACCCUGAAGGUUACACUAGCAAAGCUCUGUCAGGAAACCCAGGCUUCCUGGGUAGAUAUAAUUCCCCUAGCCCUGUUGCAAUCAUGGUGUACAGCAGGACCCGUGGGCUACUCACCCUUUGAAAUCCUAUUCGGGAGCACUGCCACCGCUCCCCCCCCCGCCCCGUUAACAAAGUAACAUUAGACCUGAGACAGCUAGGGGAAACAAGCAUGACAUCCCAGCUGCAGGCACUGGGAAAAGUGCUGUCCCCGGUCAGUCAGUUUGUAACAGAAAGAGCACCUCUCCCUAGCUAAUCCAGUACAUCCCUUCCAACUUGGGGACCAGGUCUAGGUGAAAGAUUGGAAAAAGGAACCCCUCCAAUCUGUUUGGACAGGGCCCCAUGCUGUAAUCCUUGUCAUCCAAACUGUUCUGCAAGUUACAGGAGUCGUUCUGUGGGUACACUAUUCCAGAGCAGAGAGGGCCCACCCGGACACAUCGCUGGACAGGUGGUCUGUGCGCCCAGACCCUCGGCAUCCCAUGAAAAUCAUGCUCCAGCAAGAUGUGGUCUGAAAUCUUAAUACUUGGACAGCAUUUGUUGUUCUACUGUUGUGCUGACAUUAUUGUCUUCCCUUGAGGGAUAUUCUUUGUCCAUUUCUGGUGUAAAAUGUCACUUCCUGUUUUGCUAUUAAUAAUCUUGGCCCUUGCCUAAUUAACAUACUCUGGCAGUUUCCUGAAGUCAUGGUAAUUAGAAAACCAAGUGCUCAGUUACUAGCCCUCUGUGAGUAUAAGCCGCUAAGUACAGACACCAGGGUGUAAAAGGGGAUGCUCCCUAAUAACCAUAAGAGAGCAUCAAAGUGGGGGAUGAAGUGGAAAUUUUGCCCAGGAUUUUGUCAGCAGGUAGUCAGCAGCCGUCCCUAUUUUAAAACUGCCCCUAUUUUUGUUAGUAACUGCCUCUUUCUGCUUCUGUACCUCAGCUUAUUGCUUACUAACUGGAAAGCCUUAAGGGAAACUGCCACUUCGUCUAAAACCUGCUGCGUUGUCUAAAGUCCCGAGUUACUUCCGCUGCCCCUUUACCUAUAAAAACUGUGUGCUUUUCUUAGCUGGGGUCCAGACUUCUGGGUGUGAACCCUUCUGGGCCUGCUGGUGUAAUAAAGUGUGUUCCUCUGA